UGAAAGGCCAGAAGCCUUCCCUUAUGGGAGACCGUUGUCUGAUGUACUAGACCAGACUCUUAGAUUGAACUUUGAUUGUGUAAUAAAUCUGUUCUCUCUUUCAAACAGGUCUGGUACAGGGAAACCUGAUAAUCCUGCAUGUAACAUAUACACUGGGGAAGAAGCAGACCCUGUAAACCCCUCCUGCCAGCUCUGCACUGAGGAGGCAACGGGCUCAUUUCUGCUGCGGAGGCUAGCCUCUGCAACGUGAGUAAAUUGAAUAUAACCGUAUAAUGGUCGUGUCAUUUACGCAAAAGACCGAGGAGCACCAGCUGGAACGGAGGGAAUGAGAGUGCUGCCAACCUCCUUCAGGAUGAACGCUCCUCAGAGUCCUUGAUUUGGUCCUGGAGUGCAAUGCAGACCGAGGGCCUGCUCUCCGACGAGCGUGCUGCACUCCCUGCCCGUCUGCAGGGCCCAUUAGUGGUAAUGAGGUGGCUGUCUGCAGCCUCUCCCCGUGCCCGCAAAAGGAAAAUCAAACCCUUUCCUCUGUAUGGUCCCCACAGUGGAUUCAGUAACUGUAGACAGGCACACUUUCAGAGUGGAGAUUCCCAGAUUUUACUGCGUGAAGCCACUAAAAUAAAAACUGCAAGCGUUUGUCUCAAGUCAAAAGACGUGGCAUAA
rnacentral:lncRNA from 1 species